rnacentral:tRNA from 1 species
GGAGUUGUAGCUCAGUGAUAGAGUGCUUUCCCAGCAUGUGUGAGGCACUGGGUUCGAACCUCAGCACCA